GGGGGGGGGGGGGUGCUAAACAUGCAAGUCGAACGGGGGCGUGAUGUGCGAGAGGGAUAGUUUACUAGACUUCACCUUUAAAACGCCCUAGUGGNGGAAGGGUGAGUAACGCGUGCUUAAAAAGCCAUAUACAGGGGGAUAACACUUAGAAAUAGGUGCUAAUACCGCAUAAGCGCACAGGGGCGCAUGCCCCGGUGAGAAAAACUCCGGUGGUAUAUGAUGGACCCGCGUCUGAUUAGCCAGUUGGCAGGGUAACGGCCUACCAAAGCGACGAUCAGUAGCCGGCCUGAGAGGGCGGACGGCCACAUUGGGACUGAGACACGGCCCAAACUCCUACGGGAGGCAGCAGUGGGGGAUAUUGCACAAUGGGGGAAACCCUGAUGCAGCGACGCCGCGUGAGUGAAGAAGUAUUUCGGUAUGUAUAGCUCUAUCAGCAGGGAAGAAAAUGACAGUACCUGACCAAGAAGCCCCGGCUAACUACGUGCCAGCAGCCGCGGUAAUACGUAGGGGGCAAGCGUUAUCCGGAUUUACUGGGUGUAAAGGGAGCGUAGACGGUUAUGUAAGUCUGGAGUGAAAGCCCGGGGCCCAACCCCGGGACUGCUUUGGAAACUGUGUAACUGGAGUACAGGAGGGGCAGGCGGAAUUCCUGGUGUAGCGGUGAAAUGCGUAGAUAUCAGGAGGAACACCGGCGGCGAAGGCGGCCUGCUGGACUGAAAUUGACGUUGAGGCUCGAAAACGUGGGGAGCAACA
rnacentral:rRNA from 1 species